rnacentral:rRNA from 1 species
GGAGGAGCUUGCUCUUCUGGAUGAGUUGCGAACGGGUGAGUAACGCGUAGGUAACCUGCCUGGUAGCGGGGGAUAACUAUUGGAAACGAUAGCUAAUACCGCAUAAGAGUAGAUAUCGCAUGAUAGCUGCUUGAAAGGUGCAAUUGCACCACUACCAGAUGGACCUGCGUUGUAUUAGCUAGUGGUGAGGUAACGGCUCACCAAGGCAACGAUACAUAGCCGACCUGAGAGGGUGAUCGGCCACACUGGGACUGAGACACGGCCCAGACUCCUACGGGAGGCAGCAGUAGGGAAUCUUCGGCAAUGGACGAAAGUCUGACCGAGCAACGCCGCGUGAGUGAAGAAGGUUUUCGGAUCGUAAAGCUCUGUUGUAAGAGAAGAACGAGUGUGAGAGUGGAAAGUUCACACUGUGACGGUAUCUUACCAGAAAGGGACGGCUAACUACGUGCCAGCAGCCGCGGUAAUACGUAGGUCCCGAGCGUUGUCCGGAUUUAUUGGGCGUAAAGCGAGCGCAGGCGGUUAGAUAAGUCUGAAGUUAAAGGCUGUGGCUUAACCAUAGUACGCUUUGGAAACUGUUUAACUUGAGUGCAAGAGGGGAGAGUGGAAUUCCAUGUGUAGCGGUGAAAUGCGUAGAUAUAUGGAGGAACACCGGUGGCGAAAGCGGC